UUUUUAAUUAUAUUUUUCCAUUAUUGAACAAUUUAAAUAAAAAUUAAGAAAAAAAAUCAACGCUGUUAAGACGACAUUCAACAUCGGUCAACAACGGGAAAAAAAUCAAUCGACAAAAAAGUCAACCGAGUUAAAAGGAAAGUCAACGUCGGAUUACCCAAUUUUGAAAAAUCGGGGUCAUGGGUUAAAAUUGGUUAAUUGAUGAAAUAUGGGUUAAAUUAUGGUUGAAUAAAAUUUUAGAGGUUUUUAGAAUAUUUUGAAAGAAUACAGGGGUAUUAUUGCAAUUUUCUCAAAGAAAAACCCCAAAUUCAGCCGUUGACCGUUACUACUUAACGGUCAAACAAACGGAGGGACUAAAUGUGUUAAAAUGUGACAACAUUAGUGUGUAUUUUGUUGACGGCGGUAAAUGGAGGACCAAAAGUGAAAAACGGGCAAACUUGGGGGACCAAAAC
rnacentral:lncRNA from 1 species